GUGCUCACUUCGGUAGCACGUAUACUUAAACUGGACCAUUACAGAGAAGAUGAUCGUGGCCCCUGCUCAGGGAUGAUGUGCAAACCUGCGACUUCUCCCAACGGUCU